rnacentral:rRNA from 1 species
CGGAGGGAUCAUUACAGAGUUAUCUCAACUCCCUAAACCAUUGUGAACCUACCUUCUGUUGCCUCGGCGGCGGCGCCUCUCGCGGGGUGCCGCCGCCGGCGGGCCAACCCAAACUCUUCUGUUAAGUACAAAGUCUUCUGAGUGUCUUAUGCAAAUAAGUCAAAACCUUCAACAACGGAUCUCUUGGUUCUGGCAUCGAUGAAGAACGCAGCGAAAUGCGAUAAGUAAUGUGAAUUGCAGAAUUCAGUGAAUCAUCGAAUCUUUGAACGCACAUUGCGCCCAUUAGUAUUCUAGUGGGCAUGCCUGUUCGAGCGUCAUUUCAACCCUUAAGCCUAGCUUAGUGUUGGGAACCUACCCGGCCCCCGCGCCCCGUAGUUCCCCAAAUCCACCGGCGGAGCAGCGGUAGCCUCUGAGCGUAGUAAUUCUUUUUUUCUCGCUUCUUGCAGGUGCCGCGGCCCCCAGCCGUAAAACACCCAACUCUUGUAAUGGUUGACCUCGGAUCAGGUAGGAAUACCCGCUGAACUUA